rnacentral:rRNA from 1 species
UGGGGAAUUUUGCGCAAUGGGGGAAACCCUGACGCAGCAACGCCGCGUGGAGGAUGAAGUCCCUUGGGACGUAAACUCCUUUCGAUCGGGACGAUAAUGACGGUACCGGAAGAAGAAGCCCCGGCUAACUUCGUGCCAGCAGCCGCGGUAAUACGAGGGGGGCAAGCGUUGUUCGGAAUUAUUGGGCGUAAAGGGAGUGUAGGCGGUUUGGUAAGUCUUGUGUGAAAUCUUCGGGCUCAACCCGAAGCCUGCACGAGAAACUGCCGGGCUUGAGUAUGGGAGAGGUGAGUGGAAUUCCUGGUGUAGCGGUGAAAUGCGUAGAUAUCAGGAGGAACACCUGUGGCGAAAGCGGCUCACUGGACCAUAACUGACGCUGAGACUCGAAAGCUAGGGGAGCAAACAGG